rnacentral:rRNA from 1 species
UGGGGAAUAUUGGACAAUGGGCGAAAGCCUGAUCCAGCCAUGCCGCGUGAGUGAAGAAGGUUUUCGGAUCGUAAAGCUCUGUUGUAAGAGAAGAACGAGUGUGAGAGUGGAAAGUUCACACUGUGACGGUAUCUUACCAGAAAGGGACGGCUAACUACGUGCCAGCAGCCGCGGUAAUACGUAGGUCCCGAGCGUUGUCCGGAUUUAUUGGGCGUAAAGCGAGCGCAGGCGGUUAGAUAAGUCUGAAGUUAAAGGCUGUGGCUUAACCAUAGUAGGCUUUGGAAACUGUUUAACUUGAGUGCAAGAGGGGAGAGUGGAAUUCCAUGUGUAGCGGUGAAAUGCGUAGAUAUAUGGAGGAACACCGGUGGCGAAAGCGGCUCUCUGGCUUGUAACUGACGCUGAGGCUCGAAAGCGUGGGGAGCAAACAGGAUUAGAUACCCUGGUAGUCCACGCUGUAAACGAUGAGUGCUAGGUGUUAGACCCUUUCCGGGGUUUAGUGCCGUAGCUAACGCAUUAAGCACUCCGCCUGGGGAGUACGACCGCAAGGUUG